ACAAAAAUGUAUUUUCGAUGCUUAAAAAAAAUUCUAGCUGACCCUCUGGUGUCACAUCGACUACUUUGAUGAUUUUUUCUUGCCUUUCUGGACAUGGACAGUAGACCUUACACACAGCUUCAAUGGAGGGACUGAGAGCUCUCGGACUAAAUUAUCUUAAACUGUGUUCAGAAGAUAAACGGAGGUCUUACGGGUUUGGAACAACACGAGUGAUGUGCAGACAUAAAAGUCAUUGAGGCAAGAAAACCAGCCGAUCAGUGCGAGUCGGGUCUCUCUUCGAGAGAUCAAAACUCAGCUUGUCAUCUUGGCUAGUAUUCAUUUACAGUAUGGACGAGGGAGAGCAUCAACAACAUGGAGGUGAAAAAAAUGGGUGUUUGGCAUGCUAGGUGUGAGGGAUAAAUGCAGACACCCAAUCUUGCGGCUUGUGAAAAGAAGAUCAAGACCUCACCUCAUCCCCAUAGUUGCAAAACGUGCAUCCAAGGAACUAACAUUAUUCCCGAUGAGUGGAGAGCCUACCGGACGGCUUCGGCCAAUAUGGGCUACAAACAUUUUACAGUGAACCAUUCCUAGUGGUUUGUAGACCCACACAGUGGAGCUCACUCACAACACAUGGAAAGAGCUUGGUUGACAUACAAAACAAGUGUAUGGAGACUAAGAGAGAAUAGGACAGAGAACAUGCUGAAACAUCAACUCUCUCUCAUAGCGUGGACUCGUUGGCUUGGUGAAAAAAAUUAACGGGGGACACUUGGGUGCCUAAUAAAAGAUAUUCACCAUCAAUUUCCUGUUAAGAGGACAACACACUGAACAUUUGAUUGUAAAAUACCUGUUAACUUGUCCCAUUGAUUUAAGGUGCACUGAUAUUUAAAAGUUUUGUUAAAUAAAAUGUGUAUUUUGCCUUUUUAAUUUCUGUGUUUUAAGUGCUGGGUAAUGUGUAUCUUGAAGUAAUCAUCUUGGAUAUACUGUUGCAAAAUAAGAAUCUCCUUGGUAGAUGUUAAUUGAGAUUAUUUAGAUAAUGACUUCACAUUACUACACAUUACUAAAUCAUUAACAGCUCAUAGACUAACAUGAAUUCAUGACUUGUUGAUGUAUCAUUAUGUCAUGACUUUACUGGGGGGGGGGGGGCACAUUAUUACUAACUCAUCAUUAAUUACUGAUAAAGUAACAUGAAUUCAUGACUUGUUGAUGUAUCAUUAUGUCAUGACUUUACUUGGGAGGGCACAUUAUUACUAACUCAUCAUU